GAUGAACGCUAGCGACAGGCCUAACACAUGCAAGUCGAGGGGCAGCACGAAGCAAGCUUGCUUGUUUUGGUGGCGACCGGCGCACGGGUGCGUAACAGGUGUGCAAUCUGUCCAUAAUCGGGGAAUAGCCCAGCGAAAGUUGGAUUAAUGCUCCAUGUGAGCCGAGGAGGCAUCUCUUUGGUUUGAAACGCAAGGAUUAUGGGUGAGCACGCUUCUGAUUAGGUAGUUGGUGAGGUAACGGCUCACCAAGCCGACGAUCAGGUAGGGGUUCUGAGAGGAACGGUCCCCCACAUUGGAACUGAGACACGGUCCAA
rnacentral:rRNA from 1 species